AUGACAACAGAACCCACAUCAACAAUGACUUGUAUCACCAUCUUCAUCUGGACACUUGCAUUCUAUUUUUCAGAAUCCAGAGGACGGGUCACUGUGACUCAGACUCCUGCAGUGGAAGCUGUUCUCCCAGGACAGGCAGUCUCUCUGAACUGCAAAACCAGCAGUAAUAUGAAUGGUGCAGGAGGCUCCAAUCCCAUCCUAGCCUGGUACCACCAGAAACCCGGAGGAGCUCCUAAACUCCCCAUUUACUAUGCUAAAACCCUUCAGUCUGGGACUCCAUCUAGAUUCAGUGGCAGUGGAUCUGGGAGUGACUUCACUCUGACCAUCAGUGGAGUCCAGGCUGAAGAUGCAGGAGAUUACUACUGUCAGAGUUUCCACUACCCCAACAGUGUCUGGGUGUUCACACAGUGAUACAGAGCCAU